rnacentral:lncRNA from 1 species
UAAGGAAGAGUAGGAAGAAAGCUGAAAUAUUAACAUCGUAAAACAAAAAGCAAAAACCAAAUCAAAAGUAGGUAGGUAGGGUUUCAUGGAGGAGCAAAACACAAGGGCCACUCGCGUCGUCGCGCCGCUGCAGGUUGUGCCGCCGCCGGUGUGGGAGGGAGGGGAGAGAGGAGGAGGCACAGGAGGAGGAAUAGGGCAGCCACGGCGUGCUGCUCGCGGCCGGUGCCGUCGCCGUCGCCCCUGGCGUUGGGAGGACGAGGGAGGAGCCCCACUCGCGUCGCUGCAGGCUGUGCCGCCGCUUGGUGCCCGCUGCCGACGCGGGAGGGGAGGGGAGAGAGGAGCUAUUCCGAAGAAAAAUACUAAAUAUUAUACUAUUCUGUAGGUAUCAUUGUGUUUGACUCACCCAUACUAUGCAGGAGCUUCACAGUAAGCAUGCAUCGAAUGAAGGCAACAAAUCUGGUGUUCGUAGAGGAACCCUAAGGAAGAGUAGGAAGAAAGCUGAAAUAUUAACAUCGUAAAACAAAAAGCAAAAACCAAAUCAAAAGUAGGUAGGUAGGGUUUCAUGGAGGAGCAAAACACAUGCGCCACUCGUGUCGUCGCGCCGCUGCAGGUUGUGCCGCCGCCGGUGUGGGAGGGAGGGGAGAGAGGAGGAGGCACAGGAGGAGGAGGAAUAGGGCAGCCACGGCGUGCUGCUCGCGGCCGGUGCCGUCGCCGUCGCCCCUG